CCUCUGCUGGAGUUCUGUAAGUGAGCUCAGGAUAUGGUUCUGUAGCAUGUCCUGCUGGGCUGAACCUAACAAGACGGGGAUGGGCCCCCAGAGAGGACAUCCCUGCAUGCAGGAAUGUGAAUUUCAGCAGUUGCCUACACUUAUAUCCUUGAAGAUCUCAUGAAGAUAUGAAGAUGAGUAGGGGUAGAGAUCCCAUACAUUCUGGAUGAAGAACAUGCUGAAGAGUGAAUACAAGAGUUGUAUGGCAUAAGGGACUCCACACUGGACACAGCAAGAUCUUUCAUACAUGCUCAGAGCUCAUAGCAGAUUCUUGUCUUGUGGUUGGCUGGUUUCAGUCGUUCAAGUUCUCAAACAUUAAAUAUUUAGAAAGCACAGUAAUAGAUUUUGAAGAAGAUUAGAGUAAAUCUAAGUAACUACCUGCCCUCCCAUGUCCUUUCAAGAUCCACAUGAUGCAGAGUCCAUUGCUUGGGAGCCUCUCCAGCCCAGUCAGGUCAUCAGGCUGGCAGCACUUCCCACUUGCCUGUGAGCAGGUUUACUCUUUGGCACCCAAUACCCAGUCACUGAGAUAUUCCUUACCAUGAAAGCAAAUCACCAUCUUUUUUCCUUAACUUCCCCCAACAGAUCACUUUAAAAAAGAGACAAGUCUGUGUAUACAGAAUUUUUAAUUUAUCACUGGUGACUAUUUAUUGCCCUUAAAAUUCUACAAUGACAGUCUCUUAACACAUGGUAGUUGGAGAUUUCCUUUCAUCAAGAAAGAAAAAUGACCAUAAAUGGUUCUGUUUCUUUAAAACUACUGUGGUAUUUGACUGUUGCAUUUCACAGGCAUGAAGAAGCAUAUUUUAAACAAAAAUAAUAAUAUACUCUGAUGAAAUAUUUCCGUGUGUGUGUGUUUAAAGUCUGUGACGUGAACUCCAUGAUCUGCAAGCCCUUGCCUGGGAGAUCACAGAUUCACCACUACUUUACUGUUUGACACUACUGUUCUUUCUCAACUGCUGAAAUGCAGCAGUCCCUGCCUGGAGUAUUAUUUAGAGUACUUUAAAUCAGGAACUAAUCUGUGCAACAGAAAUGUCAUCACGAUUUGUUUUAUUUGGGAUGAUCAUAAUGCCAAAAGAUAAAACUUCUACAUAAG